UUCCGGUUGAUCCCGCCGGAAGUCACUGCUAUCGGGGUCCGAUUAAGCCGUGCGAGUCGAGAGGGUUCGGCCCUCGGCGUACUGCUCAGUAACACGUGGAUAACCUGCCCUAGGGAAGGGGAUAACCCCGGGAAACUGGGGAUAAUACCCUAUAGGUUACAGAUGCUGGAAUGCUCUGUAACCCAAAGUUCCGGCGCCCUAGGAUGGAUCUGCGGCCGAUUAGGUUGUUGUUGGGGUAAUGGCCCAACAAGCCAGUAAUCGGUACGGGUUGUGGGAGCAAGAGCCCGGAGUUGGAUUCUGAGACACGAAUCCAGGCCCUACGGGGCGCAGCAGGCGCGAAAACUUUACAAUGCGGGCAACCGUGAUAAGGGAACCUCGAGUGCCUGUAAAUGCAGGCUGUUUAGGUGUUUAAAACGCACCUGGAGAAAGGGCCGGGCAAGACCGGUGCCAGCCGCCGCGGUAAUACCGGCGGCUCGAGUGGUGGCCACUUUUAUUGGGCUUAAAGCGUUCGUAGCUGGGUUGUUAAGUCUCUUGGGAAAUCUGACGGCUUAACCGUCAGGCGUCUAAGAGAUACUGGCAAUCUUGGAACCGGGAGAGGUGAGGGGUACUUCGGGGGUAGGAGUGAAAUCCUGUAAUCCUCGAGGGACCACCUGUGGCGAAGGCGCCUCACCAGAACGGCUUCGACAGUGAGGGACGAAAGCUGGGGGAGCAAACCGGAUUAGAUACCCGGGUAGUCCCAGCCGUAAACGAUGUGCGUUAGGUGUAUCGGUGACCACGAGUCACCGAGGUGCCGAAGGGAAACCGUGAAACGUACCGCCUGGGAAGUACGGUCGCAAGGCUGAAACUUAAAGGAAUUGGCGGGGGAGCACCUCAACAGGUGGAGCCUGCGGUUUAAUUGGAUUCAACGCCGGA
rnacentral:rRNA from 1 species